CCUACGGGAGGCUGCAGUGGGGAAUAUUGGACAAUGGGGGCAACCCUGAUCCAGCCAUGCCGCGUGUGUGAAGAAGGCCCUCGGGUUGUAAAGCACUUUCAGUGAGGAAGAACGCCUGGUGGUUAAUACCCAUCAGGAAAGACAUCACUCACAGAAGAAGCACCGGCUAACUCCGUGCCAGCAGCCGCGGUAAUACGGAGGGUGCGAGCGUUAAUCGGAAUUACUGGGCGUAAAGCGCGCGUAGGUGGCUUGAUAAGCCGGUUGUGAAAGCCCCGGGUUCAACCUGGGAACGGCAUCCGGAACUGUCAAGCUAGAGUGCAGGAGAGGAAGGUAGAAUUCCCGGUGUAGCGGUGAAAUGCGUAGAGAUCGGGAGGAAUACCAGUGGCGAAGGCGGCCUUCUGGACUGACACUGACACUGAGGUGCGAAAGCGUGGGUAGCAAACAGGAUUAGAUACCCUGGUAGUC
rnacentral:rRNA from 1 species